rnacentral:tRNA from 1 species
GCGUCCAUAGCUCAACUGGAUAGAGUAUCUGGCUUCGAACCAGGAGGUUGCGAGUUCAAGUCUUGCUGGGCGCACCA